CGGCGAGUAGCGCAGCUUGGUAGCGCAACUGGUUUGGGACCAGUGGGUCGGAGGUUUGAAUCCUCUCUCGCCGACCA
rnacentral:tRNA from 1 species